AGCAAAGAGGAUUAGAUACCCUCGUAGUCCACGCUGUAAACUAUGGAUACUAGCUAUGUGAAGUGUCGACCCUUCACGUGGCGAAGCUAACGCGUUAAGUAUCCCGCCUGGGAAGUACGAUCGCAAGAUUAAAACUCAAAGGAAUAGACGGGGACCCACACAAGCGGUGGAUCAUGUGGUUUAAUUCGACAGUAAACGCGGAACCUUACCAAGGUUUGACAAGCUAGUGAAACUCCGAUGAAAGUUGGAGCCUCCCACAAGGACACUAGCCCAGGUGAUGCACGGCUGGACUUACGGCCCUUUGAAAAGUAAUUUUCAGAGUAUCACCGCCUCGAUAAAGACGACCUUGUCGUGUCGAGGUAAAAUCGGCUCAUAACGGUGAAACCCAAACUCUUCUGUUGUAUAAUAGAGGAGUGGGCAAUACCGUGGGAAGUACAAAUGUCAAUUUCUGUAACUUUUUUGCUGAUGAGCAGAAUGCUUAUAUUCUUGGAUUAUUAGCAGCAGAUUCGUACUGGUGGUCAAGUUCAAUAGGUUUGAGUAGCACUGAAUUUGACCUGCGAAAUAAGUUUCGAUUAUUUGCGCUAAAACUGGGAUUUCCUCCAAAACGCAUUAAAAAAAGUGUUAGUGGAAAUCACAUUUACGUGAAUAGUCGCCCACUUUUGAGAGCUUAUAGAUCUGCUCUUAAAGAGAUAGGAAAGUUAAAAGAUCCAAGAAUAAUAAGUGCCUAUAUUGCAGGAAGAUUCGAUGGAGAUGGUUGUAUUAAUGGAGACUUAAAGCGAGAUUGUAGAAUAGUCUACAAUGAAAAAUCCGAAAAACAAGAAGCAAUCAUUGAUAGUAUGCUCUUGAAAAGGAUUGGAAUAGAUAAAGUAAGUAUCUAUCACUAUCGCACCUCUAGUCAGUGGGAAAAUUCAUAGAAGCACUGUCUCCUCAUUCAGUAAAGUUGCAUAAAUUGGCAUUUGUACCCCGUAGAGACUUGUCUUUCUCUUCUCGAGAAAGCUAAUAGCGGGUUUAACCACUAUUAAACGCCGAACUCCCGCAAGGAGUAUGGUAUAGUCCGUACCACAAGAGAUUGUGGAUGCAUAUGGUCGUCAGCAUGUACCUUGAGGCGCUCUGUUCAAUCAGGUAACAUGCGCAACCCUCAUCCUGUGUUUUACGUGUCACAGGAAACUGCCUGAGACAAUCAGGAGGAAGGUGAGGAUGACGCCAAGUCCGCGUGUCCCUUUGAUAUCUUGGGCCACACACAUGAUACAAUGGAGCCGACAACGGGACGCCAAGCUGCAAAGCUGAGCAAAUCCCUUAAACGGCCCCUCAGUUCGGAUCGAGGUCUGCAAUUCGACCUCGUGAAGCCGGAAUCGCUAGUAAUCGCAAAUCAGCCACGUUGCGGUGAAUACGUUCUCGAGUCCUGUACUCACUGCCCGUCACUGCAAGGGAGCCGGUAAUACCUAAAGCCGAGCACAUACGUGCGGAGCCGAACGCGUUCGGCGCGUAUGUGCUCGGUUAGGGUAGGAUCGGUGACAUGGCAGAAGUCGUAACAAGGCACGCGUAGCGGAAGCUGUGCGUGGAUCA
rnacentral:rRNA from 1 species